rnacentral:tRNA from 1 species
GCCUUUUGUGUAAUGGUCAGCACAUUGAGCCGGUAAUUCAGAGGUCCGUGGUUCGAUCCCCGGCGAAGGCA